rnacentral:rRNA from 1 species
GAUGAACGCUAGCGGCAGGCUUAAUACAUGCAAGUCGUGGGGCAGCAUGGUGUAGCAAUACACUGAUGGCGACCGGCAAACGGGUGCGGAACACGUACGCAAUCUUCCCAAAACUGGUGAAUAGCCCUCCGAAAGGAGGAUUAAUACACCGUAACAUAAUGAAGUGGCAUCACUUUAUUAUUAUAGCUCCGGCGGUUUUGGAUGAGCGUGCGCCUGAUUAGGUAGUUGGCGGGGUAACGGCCCACCAAGCCUACGAUCAGUAACUGGUGUGAGAGCACGACCAGUCACACGGGCACUGAGACACGGGCCCGACUCCUACGGGAGGCAGCAGUAAGGAAUAUUGGUCAAUGGACGCAAGUCUGAACCAGCCAUGCCGCGUGGAGGAUGAAGGUCCUCUGGAUUGUAAACUUCUUUUAUCGGAGAAGAAACCCCAGUUUUCUUGCUGGGUUGACGGUACCCGAUGAAUAAGCACCGGCUAACUCCGUGC